GUCCAGGGAUGGGAAUAGAACCCACAGUGUUCUGCUUCUUACCGGGCAGAUGCCAUGUCCACUAAGCUACCCUUGGA